UGGGGAAUAUUGGACAAUGGGCGAAAGCCUGAUCCAGCCAUGCCGCGUGUGUGAAGAAGGUCUUCGGAUUGUAAAGCACUUUAAGUUGGGAGGAAGGGCAUUAACCUAAUACGUUAGUGUUUUGACGUUACCGACAGAAUAAGCACCGGCUAACUCUGUGCCAGCAGCCGCGGUAAUACAGAGGGUGCAAGCGUUAAUCGGACUUAAUGGGCGUAAAGCGCGCGUAGGUGGUUUGUUAAGUUGGAUGUGAAAUCCCCGGGCUCAACCUGGGAACUGCAUUCAAAACUGACUGACUAGAGUAUGGUAGAGGGUGGUGGAAUUUCCUGUGUAGCGGUGAAAUGCGUAGAUAUAGGAAGGAACACCAGUGGCGAAGGCGGCCCCCUGGACAAAGACUGACGCUCAGGUGCGAAAGCGUGGGGAGCAAACA
rnacentral:rRNA from 1 species